CAGUGCAGAGAGGCGCUUCGGGAGCGGGAAGCUGGGGGAAGGCAAGGCCUCCGACCUCGGGGGGGCCAGUUUUGCCAGCUCUCGGUUUGGCUCACGGAAGGCUUUUAAAAUUGGACGAGGCGAGCCUCGAUCAGAAGUGUGGCGACGCUGGCAAAAGAGGAAAACACUGGAAUAUUCACUCUCUGUCUUGCCAAAGGAGACUUUCCAUCUUAUUCUAGGCGGGUAGCAUCGGGCUUCCCGAAAGCACCCCACCCCCAAAUUCCGAGGAGAAGCAGGAGAAACGGAACCCGCUCUUCUCUGACCCGCUCUUUAGUUGGUGGCACUUGCUCCCCCCUCCCCCUGGCAAAGAUGGGGAGUGCGUCUUUCUGGAUGCUCUUCCAAGGAGUCUAUCUAGACCCCGCCCCGAAUCCCUACUUAUCUCUUUACCCCUUUUUAUACACCAAUGCGUCGGCCGGACCGGUCCCCGCCACGCCUGGCCUUUGCUACCGGUGCAAAUAGCUUAAGGCACCGGCCCGUGCGGGCGAUCAAGCUUUCACCCCGAGAUUGACUCUGCUAAGUGAGCCCCGUUCUUUCUCGAACUUGGAAAGCUAGUUCUACUCCGCCUCUGGGAUCAACUCAUCCCAGCGGAGCAGAGGGAUCGCUCUGCGCACUUGGGCACCUGGUGGGUCCCGGGACUGGGGGUUAAAGGAUGCUCAGGAAAGCCGCCGUAGAAACUGCCAAACCGCCGUUCUCCGAUUCUGAGUUCCCGGCACCAGGGGGCACUAGAAACCGCUCGGGCCUUGUAGUCUUCCCGCCGCCGGUAGGCUGGAUUGUCAUUUUAAAACAUAAAACAGUAGGGGAACCAAUGUUUCUACCAUCUAUCCCCAAACUAGUUCAGGGAUCUGUAGAUGUCCUUAUGUGAAUCCUCGCUUUUCGGGCUUCUAUCCUUCCAUUCUCUUUCCCCAUUUCCCCUCUCCUCAUUUCACCUGAGGCGGUUUCUUGGCAACCUACUUUUAGACAUCCUGAUCCUCUAUCACCGAGAAAGCUUUGCAGCGGGUGGCUGCUCCCUGCCACCAGUGCCCCCGCACAUUUUGGAGCUAGCAGGCUGGAAAGUUUGUUUGGGAUUUGCUUUCAAACCCUGGUGGCGUGGGAGGAGAGUUCACUACAAACUCCGGUGUUUCCUGUACGGUUUGGGCAGAAAUUACUAAACGAUCUGUUGCUUGUUUUCCCUGUGCUCAGUGUCCUUGACUGAGGACGCAUUCUCUUACCACUGCCCUUUAAGUGACCAGCCCAAGAUGGAGAAAGAGGGAAAAUGUGGGAUGCUUCCCCGGGGGCGGGGGGAAAGGCCAGGGGUGGGUCUGUUUAUUAGAGAACCAGGGGAAGAGUUCUAGGCCCCGGAGCACUGGAAUCUCUUACAGCAGUGGGCUAGAAAAGCUGCAGGCUAACCGGACACUACGCACUUGUCACUUGUUUAAAAGACACCUCCCCCACCAAAGCUCAGAGAGACAGAGGGCAUAGUCAGGGCAAGAAAGAAACAGCGAAUCCUUCUCUGAAGGCUUGAAGGGA
rnacentral:sRNA from 1 species